ACGAACGCUGGCGGCGUGCUUAACACAUGCAAGUCGAACGGUCUCUUCGGAGAUAGUGGCGGACGGGUGAGUAACGCGUGAGAAUCUGUCUUCAGGUCGGGGACAACCACUGGAAACGGUGGCUAAUACCGGAUGUGCCUUUGGGUGAAAGAUUAAUUGCCUGGAGAUGAGCUCGCGUCUGAUUAGCUAGUAGGUGUGGUAAGAGCGCACCUAGGCGACGAUCAGUAGCUGGUCUGAGAGGAUGAUCAGCCACACUGGGACUGAGACACGGCCCAGACUCCUACGGGAGGCAGCAGUGGGGAAUUUUCCGCAAUGGGCGAAAGCCUGACGGAGCAAUACCGCGUGAGGGAGGAAGGCUCUUGGGUUGUAAACCUCUUUUCUCAAGGAAGAACACAAUGACGGUACUUGAGGAAUCAGCAUCGGCUAACUCCGUGCCAGCAGCCGCGGUAAUACGGAGGAUGCAAGCGUUAUCCGGAAUGAUUGGGCGUAAAGCGUCCGCAGGUGGCUUUGUAAGUCUGCUGUUAAAGAGUGAGGCUCAACCUCAUAAAAGCAGUGGAAACUACAAGGCUAGAGUACGUUCGGGGCAGAAGGAAUUCCUGGUGUAGCGGUGAAAUGCGUAGAGAUCAGGAAGAACACCGGUGGCGAAAGCGUUCUGCUAGGCCGUAACUGACACUGAGGGACGAAAGCUAGGGGAGCGAAUGGGAUUAGAUACCCCAGUAGUCCUAGCCGUAAACGAUGGAUACUAGGCGUGGCUUGUAUCGACCCGAGCCGUGCCGGAGCUAACGCGUUAAGUAUCCCGCCUGGGGAGUACGCACGCAAGUGUGAAACCCAAAGGAAUUGACGGGGGCCCGCACAAGCGGUGGAGUAUGUGGUUUAAUUCGAUGCAACGCGAAGAACCUUACCAAGACUUGACAUGUCGCGAACCUUUGUGAAAGCAGAGGGUGCCUUCGGGAGCGCGAGCACAGGUGGUGCAUGGCUGUCGUCAGCUCGUGUCGUGAGAUGUUGGGUUAAGUCCCGCAACGAGCGCAACCCUCGUUUUUAGUUGCCAGCAUUAAGUUGGGCACUCUAGAGAGACUGCCGGUGACAAACCGGAGGAAGGUGGGGAUGACGUCAAGUCAGCAUGCCCCUUACGUCUUGGGCUACACACGUACUACAAUGCUACGGACAAAGGGCAGCAAGCUAGUGAUAGCAAGCAAAUCUCAUAAACCGUAGCUCAGUUCAGAUCGCAGGCUGCAACUCGCCUGCGUGAAGUCGGAAUCGCUAGUAAUUGCAGGUCAGCAUACUGCAGUGAAUUCGUUCCCGGGCCUUGUACACACCGCCCGUCCACACCAUGGAAGCUGGCAACGCCCGAAGUCAUUACUCCAACUGUUCGCAGAGGAGGAUGCCUAAGGCAGUGCUGGUGACUGGGGUG
rnacentral:rRNA from 1 species